GGAGAAAGCAAGAGGAGAAUCUGGGAAUUAGGCGAUGAGCACAACCCUCAAUGUCAAAGGGAGAUCCAGCGUUCCCAGCUAAGUUUGGUGACGACACCAAGACCCACCUCAAUCUUCUUGAUUAGUGCCAGCGUGUCGUACCACAUCUGGAUGGAUCCCGGCAGCUGACGUGUCAGCGUCAUACGGAGAACCAUGCAGUAAGAGGCUGUGGUGAAGAUUCGACGCAGUAUGAUGCCUUUGCUGAGUGCAUGAGGCACAACGGCUGAGACGAUAACCAAGAUGGCAGAGAAGAAGUAUGAAGCACUGUAGAAGUAACGCAGAGAACCGAUCUUCCUCGUCAGUGUCAUCUCGUCCCUGAGGAGGGAGGGGAAAAGCAUAUAUGCUUCAUUACGCCUGUUGCUUCCCCACCGAUGAGGUCCCAUCUUCUGUGAGAGCCAGGCCUGGAUGAUACCCAGCAGGGUCAGAGCUGCCAGGGCGCAGAAUCCGUUCACAUCGAUCAGCUCCCACAACAAAC